rnacentral:rRNA from 1 species
UUGGGGUUUGGUUCCGGAGAGGGAGCCUGAGAGAUGGCUACUACGUCCAAGGAUGGCAGCAGGCGCGGAACUUGCCGAAUCCUGAUGGGAGGCAGUUAGCAGAUGUUAUGUGUGUGGUGAAUUGCAACGAGAUUCGCUGUGAUUGGAGGGCAAGUCGGGUGCCAGCAGCCGCGGUAAUACCUGCUCCAAGAGUGUCUAUGGUGGAUGCUGCAGUUAAAAGGUUCGUAGUUGUGUUGAUGGUGUAUGUUUUGUGUGCCUGUGGCUAUAGCGGGCUGUGGAUGUAUGCGGCAACGGGCGCAACGGACGGGGGGCACUGGAUAGUUGGGCGAGAGGUGAAAUGUGACGACCCUGACUGGACAGACGGAGGCGAAGGCUGUGCUCUUGGACGGAUGUGUGGAUCAAGAACGAAGGCUGGAGGAUCGAAAUCGAUUAGAUACCGUUUUAGUUCCAGCAGUAAACGAUGCCGACUGGAUGGUGCUGUUGCACUGUCCGCGAGAAAUCUGUGAGUGUGUGGGCUCUGGGGAUAGUAUGUUCGCAAGAGGGAAACUUAAAGAGAUUGACGGAAGGACACCACCAGGAGUGGAGUGUGCGGCUUAAUUUG